GGGGAGCCAGUUAAGCCGACUGUGCUCUUUUCCCCAUGGGGGCCCAGUGUGCAAUGGCUGCAGACAGCAGCCUCCUUGGUUGUGUAUGCACCUGUUGCCUGUACAGGUUGCCCUAAGGGACCUUGGAGACAACU
ensembl:snoRNA SNORA70 Small nucleolar RNA SNORA70